rnacentral:rRNA from 2 species
UAUAGCGGCCAAAGCGGCGGGGAAACACCUGUACCCAUUCCGAACACAGAAGUUAAGCCUGUCAACGUUUUACAUUGUACUAAGAUGUGCGAACUCUCGGGAACUGUAGAAAGUCGCUAUGC